rnacentral:rRNA from 1 species
AGACCGAUAGCGAACAAGUAGAGUGAUCGAAAGAUGAAAAGCACUUUGAAAAGAGAGUUAAACAGUACGUGAAAUUGUUGAAAGGGAAGCGCUUGCAACCAGACUUGCGCGCGGCGGUUCCCCCUUCCUUCUGGUUGGGUUAUUCCGCCGUGUCCAGGCCAACAUCGGUUCUGGGGGUCGGUUAAAGGCCUGGGGAAUGUAUCUACCCUUCGGGCGUAGACUUAUAGCCCCGGGUGUCAUGCGACCUCCCGGGACCGAGGAACGCGCUUCGGCUCGGAUGUUGGCGUAAUGGUUGUCAGCGACCCGUCUUGAAACACGGACCAAG